UAAAUUUCACAUUCAUAAAUGCAAGUUUACAAAAGGCAAACCUCUUUUUAUGGUGCUUGGAAAAGAGAUUAAAAUGUUUGUAGAUGUGAUGUCAAAAUCUAAAAAUAGUAAAGCAAUUAAAACGAUUAAUAUAUGCUCCUCCUUUAACAUUUUCACAUAAUAAAGAUCGGAAAGCACACG